rnacentral:rRNA from 1 species
GUGGGGAAUAUUGGACAAUGGGCGAAAGCCUGAUCCAGCCAUGCCGCGUGUGUGAAGAAGGUCUUCGGAUUGUAAAGCACUUUAAGUUGGGAGGAGGGGCAGUAAGUUAAUACCUUGCUGUUUUGACGUUACCAACAGAAUAAGCACCGGCUAACUUCGUGCCAGCAGCCGCGGUAAUACGAAGGGUGCAAGCGUUAAUCGGAAUUACUGGGCGUAAAGCGCGCGUAGGUGGUUCAGCAAGUUGAAGGUGAAAUCCCCGGGCUCAACCUGGGAACUGCCUCCAAAACUACUGAGCUGGAGUACGGUAGAGGGUAGUGGAAGUUCCUGUGUAGCGGUGAAAUGCGUAGAUAUAGGAAGGAACACCAGUGGCGAAGGCGACUACCUGGACUGAUACUGACACUGAGGUGCGAAAGCGUGGGGAGCAAACAGGAUUAGAAACCCGUGUAGUCC